CUCAGCAGCAGCCGUUAGCCCGGCCCGCUGCCCCAGGCUGGAACUCACCUGCGGAGCCAGACCUGUCCUGAGGCCACUGACCGGCCAACAGACCUUCGGACGUCAUUCCCUAGGCCCGAAUUCUGAUGUUAAUUUCUGUUCUCACUGUGUAACACUGACCUGCCAAGAAUUCCCUGUGUAGACUAGGAUGGCCUUGAAUUCCUGAAGUUCCAUGUACCUGCUUCAGUCUCCAGAGUGCUGAGAUUUAAAGCGUGCACCUACGUGGUGCAGCGCCCAACAUUAAAUAUUAGUAUUCUUUUCACCACGAAGAAUAUUACUAAAGAGAUAAGUUGACCCCUUUGCUCAGGUGCCAGAAUAUCCAUGGAAACUGGACUCCACCAAUUUCCCAUAGCUGGCUAGGGGCAAGUCAGUAACACGCCUGUGCUGCAUGGCCGCCACCUAACCCUGUGCUGGCAGACGAUGCUGUUUACUUGUGCAUCCAGAGCAAGAUCCUCCAAUUUCAAAUUUAAGCCAACCUGCUAUGCCAACUUGCUGGCCACACGCACAGAGGAGGUGUUAGGUCACCAGGGUGUGCCACUGAAGAAGACCCUGAGACAAGCAGUCCUUCCUCUUUUUCAUUUUCUGGCUGCAGUAGGUGAGCAGCUAUAUCCUACACACUGUUCCCACAGCGUGCUGACAUGCUACAGGUCCCACAGCAAUGGGGCAGCCAACUGUGGACUCAAACUUCCAAAAUGAUGAACCAAAAUGUAUCCUCUGUAUUUUUCCCCUAAGACAGGGUAUCACUAAACAGACCGUGCUGCCCUCAAAUCCAGAGAUCCACUUGAUUCUGCCUUAAAGAACUAAGAUUAAAGAUGCGCACCACCACAAUGGACAGGCUUUUUCUAAGACAUUUAUUUCAGGCAUCUUUAACAGUGACAAACACCUGACUAUCAAAGCUCAA